rnacentral:rRNA from 1 species
GUUUAUCAAAAACAUGUCUUUUAGUAAUUAAUUUAAAGUCUAACCUGCCCCCUGAAUAAAUUUAAAUGGCCGCAGUAUUUUAACUGUGCAAAGGUAGCAUAAUCAUUAGUCUUUUAAUUGAAGGCUGGUAUGAAUGGUUGGAUGAAAUAUUAACUGUUUCAUAAAAAUUUAUAAUAGAAAUUUAUUUUUUAGUUAAAAAGCUAAAAUUUAAUUAAAAGACGAGAAGACCCUAUAAAUCUUUAUAUUUUAUUGGGGUGAUAUUAAAAUUUAAUAAACUUUUAAUUUAAAAUUUACAUUAAUUUAUGGUUUAAUGAUCCGUUAAUUACGAUUAUAAAAUUAAGUUACUUUAGGGAUAACAGCGUAAUUUUUUUAAAAAGUUCUUAUUGAUAAAAAAGAUUGCGACCUCGAUGU